AGCCUGAACGCUGGCGGCGUGGCUAAGACAUGCAAGUCGUACGGUGUAGCAAUACACAGUGGCGAACGGGUGAGUAAUGAAUCGCUAAUGUACCCCGGACUCUGGGAUAGCUGCCUGAAAGGGCAGGUAAUACCAGAUGAUAUACCUUUAUCGCAUGAUAGAGGUCUCAAAGGUCCGCCGGUCUGGGAGCAGGCGAUUUUGUAUCAGCUAGUUGGUGAGGUAAUGGCUCACCAAGGCGAUGACGCAUAGCCGGACUGAGAGGUUGGCCGGCCACAUUGGGACUGAGACACUGCCCAGACUCCUACGGGGGGGCUGCAGUAACGAAUCUUCCGCAAUGCACGAAAGUGUGACGGAGCGACGCCGCGUGUGGGACGAAGCCCUUCGGGGUGUAAACCACUGUCAGGGGACAAAAAGUUCUAGAUUAUCCCCAGAGGAAGGCGACGGCUAACUCUGUGCCAGCAGCCGCGGU
rnacentral:rRNA from 1 species